GAUGAACGCUGGCGGCGUGCCUAAUACAUGCAAGUCGAGCGAACAGACGAGGAGCUUGCUCCUCUGACGUUAGCGGCGGACGGGUGAGUAACACGUGGAUAACCUACCUAUAAGACUGGGAUAACUUCGGGAAACCGGAGCUAAUACCGGAUAACAUGUUGAACCGCAUGGUUCAACAGUGAAAGACGGUUUUGCUGUCACUUAUAGAUGGUUCCGCGCCGCAUUAGCUAGUUGGUAAGGUAACGGCUUACCAAGGCAACGAUGCGUAGCCGACCUGAGAGGGUGAUCGGCCACACUGGAACGGAGACACGGUCCAGACGCCUACGGGAGGCAGCAGUAGGGAAUCUUCCGCAAUGGGCGAAAGCCUGACGGAGCAACGCCACGUGAGUGAAGAAGGUCUUCGGAUCGUAAAACUCUGUUAUUAGGGAAGAACAAAUGUGUAAGUAACUAUGCACGUCUUGACGGUACCUAAUCAGAAAGCCACGGCUAACUACGUG
rnacentral:rRNA from 1 species